rnacentral:tRNA from 1 species
GUCGUUGUAGUAUAGUGGUGAGUUUCCCUGCCUGUCACGCGGGAGACCCGAGUUCGAUCCCCGGCAAUGGUG